UACGUAGGGAGCAAGCGUUUGUCCGGAAUCAUUGGGCGUAAAGCGCGCGUAGGUGGCUUCGUAAGUCCGUUGUGAAAGUCAAAGGCUCAACCUUUUGAAAGCCGAUGGAUACUGCGGAGCUAGAGUACGGAAGAGGCGAGUGGAAUUCCUGGUGUAGCGGUGGAAUGCGCAGAUAUCAGGAGGAACACCAAUAGCGAAGGCAGCUCGC
rnacentral:rRNA from 1 species